rnacentral:rRNA from 1 species
AUUGAGCUGCAACUCGACUCCAUGAAGCUGGAUUCGCUAGUAAUCGCGCAUCAGCCAUGGCGCGGUGAAUACGUUCCCGGGCCUUGUACACACCGCCCGUCAAGCCAUGGGAGUCGGGAGUGCCUGAAGUUCGUGACCGUCACAGGAGCGACCUAAGGCAAGACCGAUGACUGGGGCUAAGUCGUAACAAGGUAUC